rnacentral:tRNA from 1 species
GGGGCUAUAGCUCAGUUGGUAGAGUGCUUGCCUUUUGCGCAUGAAGCCCUGGGUUUGAUUCUUAGAACCUCA